CGCUAUCACUCCUACGGGAGGCAGCAGUGGGGAAUCUUGGACAAUGGGCGCAAGCCUGAUCCAGCCAUGCCGCGUGAGUGAUGAAGGCCUUAGGGUCGUAAAGCUCUUUCGCCAGGGAUGAUAAUGACAGUACCUGGUAAAGAAACCCCGGCUAACUCCGUGCCAGCAGCCGCGGUAAUACGGAGGGGUUAGCGUUGUUCGGAAUUACUGGGCGUAAAGCGCGCGUAGGCGGAUUAGUCAGUCAGAGGUGAAAUCCCAGGGCUCAACCCUGGAACUGCCUUUGAUACUGCUAGUCUUGAGUUCGAGAGAGGUGAGUGGAAUUCCGAGUGUAGAGGUGAAAUUCGUAGAUAUUCGGAGGAACACCAGUGGCGAAGGCGGCUCACUGGCUCGAUACUGACGCUGAGGUGCGAAAGUGUGGGGAGCAAACAGGAUUAGAUACCCUGGUAG
rnacentral:rRNA from 1 species